GUUGCCAGACUGGUUUACACUAUUGGUACAUUUAAUAAGCUGAUAUAGCAGAUAUUGCCACUUGUGAAGUUCGGCCACACUCAACUGUCUGCAAAUUUAAACAAAAAAAAAAGGAAAUUAGCGAGCAAACUUUACAUGAAUAAAUCAAUUCGGUUAAUUUUUGAACAAACGGAACGCGUCAGUUUUGCACGUUUCAAAGCGACAACACGUUUCGUAUAUAAUCAAUUUAAGUAACACGGCUGCGGCUACAGUUUUUUUACAGUUGUUGUUGCUGCCGAUUUGCGAAGCGACAAAGUGCUCGUGUGUGUGUAUGUGCGUCUGUUUGUGCAUAUAUAUAUAUAUGUGUGUGAGUGUGUGUGUGAAGAUAAUUUAGUUAGAGGUCAUUUCUAUGCGUAAGCAUUUGCAACAUGCGGCAGCCAGUUGUUGAUAGUGGGACCGUCGUCUUAAAAAAUAACACGCGCCGCCAUAACAAAGGACGCUCGCAGCUGUACGCCCACGUCCACGUCCACGCCCACUGCAAAGCGCGCAGCAGCAGCACCGCCAGCUUUGUUUUAUAGUACGCGCAGCCAUGCCAACGACAACAGCAAUAAUAGCUAAAGCAGCAACAAAAUCCACAACUGAAGAAGAAGAAGAAAAUUGCGAUACGCUAAUGGCGUCCGCAACAACCACAACAACAACAACAACAAAAGAAGAACAGACACCACCAGCGUCAGCGUCGGCGUCGGCGUCAGCGUCAGCGUUAGCAUCACUGCCGCAGGCAGCUCCUGAUGCAACGCUAACUGCAGCUGCGCGGUCAACGCCAACGCCCACGCUGCUUCCUCUGCUGGCCUCGGCAGCCGCUUGCAAUAAACAGUUGCUAUUCUGCCGGCGUUUUAAGGAUGCGUCCGCUGGCGGCGUCGACGGCGCUGGCUUUUUACGUAACUUCAACUCGUUGCCGCUGUUUGUCUACGCAACGUCGCCGUCGACGCACGCCAGUUCUGCGGAUGGCGUCGGCGUUGCCAAGGAAGCAGCAGCCGCUGCAGCAGCUGCGUCGGCGUUCAGUCAAAAGAAUGACGGCUUUGAACUACCCGCAACGCAUGGCAUCUGCAAAACAGACGGCAGCUGCAUUAGCCAACACAGAAACAGCAACAGCAACAGCAACAGCGGCAACAACGGCAGCAGUAGUGGUGGCCACGCACGCGUCACAGAAUUGGCCAGCGGCGCCAUGGAGUGCCUGCCAUUGAGCGGCGGCGGUGGCGGCGGCGUUGUCACACAUCAUCCGCAUCUGAUGGCAGCGAGCGCUGCUGGAGGCACUGUUGUUGCUUCACCAACGGCAACGGUGGUUGUGGGUGCCACAUAUCCGCACCAUUUGCACCACCAUCAUCAUUUGAGCCACCAUGCGCCGUACAGUAAUAGCUAUGGCAGUCAUCCGCAUCAUCCCAUACACAGCGAACAGACCAAGUCGCUGCAGGAGCUGCAGCAUGAGGUGGGCGCUCUGUUGGAAUUCCGAGAUCUGGUCAUCGAAACGUUUCCCGAUCUCAAACAUAAAAUGGCCUCCAUGUCCGCCACACCAUCUACGCCCAGCUCCGUGGGCGCCCUAGGCGGCAGUCACUCGGUGGGCGGCGGCAGCGGCGGUGGAGGCAGCUCCUCGUUAGCAGCCAGACGCGAAUGGGAGCCCGGAAUACGCAUGAAGCGCAAACUGUCGCACAAGGAACCGUCCACGACAACGGCCGCUGCAGCCGCAUCCGCUGGAGCUGAGCCGUCGUCCUCGUCGCUAACGCGCAGCCGCAGUAACUCGCACAGCGGCAAGAAAGAGCCAAAGAGCGGAGAGAACAACAACGGCAGCGUUGUACAGGACUCCGGCUUCUCAACGGAGACCAGUUCCUCCAAGGAGGGCCACAGUGCCUCCUCCACCAAUGGUGCUAUAACGGUGGCCAUAGCAUCGAACCGUCUGAGCUGCGCCGAGUCGGAUGAUGAGCUGCUUAACCUGCUGGAUGUCAUACACCGCAAGUCGAAUCGCUUACGCGAGGAGGUCGAACAGCUGCAAAGCUAUGAGCGACAACAGGGGGAUGCGGCGAAGGGCCACAAAAAUGGUAGUGGCAUGACGCCGCAACAGUUCCGAGAGCAGGUGGAGCGAAUCAAUCGCGAGGAUAUCAAACAGUUGCGCAAGGAGCGCGAUCGUCUGCUGGACAAGCUGGCCGAAAUGGAGGCGGAGACUUUAACGGGCCGCAUUAAGGCGGCCAAGAUGAACGAUCAAGUCGAGGAGUUGAUCAGCGUCAAAAAGGAUCUCGAAGAGCAGCUAAAACUGGCCAUGGCUCAAAAGCUGGAGCUGAGCUCGCGUGUGCAACAGCUACAGCUGCAGCAGCAGCAACAACAACAACAACAACAACAACAGCAGCAGCAGAGCAAAAGCUCAUCCAGCGCCAGCCAGUCAGAGCUUUCCAGUCAACGUAACUUUUUAUCCUCCGCGACGACGGUGCUCUCAAACAGCAGUCGCCCCAGUCUUAGCAGCAACAACACAUUCCAGCCGGUUGUGCUUGAUCAGCAGCAGCAGCAGCAAGCGCCGGAGGCAUUCCAUCAAAGCUCAGGCAGUGAUACAGCAAUAGCGGCAGCAAGAAGGCAACAACAGCAGCUGGGACGUUUGGAUGGCGUUGUGAGCACGCCUGGCGCCCGGAAUACCAAAUGCCGAAUUACAGACUCCAAGCGCUUCUCGGCCAUUUUGCUGGAGACGAAUGUGCUAGAGCUGCAGCGACAUCUGCUCACGCUAACUGUGCAAAACCAGGUGCUGGCCCAGAAGCUGGACUCGUCCAGCAAAUCAAAGUCGCUGCUGACCAAGCGGCUGGACAAAAGCGUAGAAGAUACGGAGGAGCUGCGCUUUCAGUUAGAGGAGAAGAACAUCGAACUGGAGGGCACCAAGGCGCAGUUGCGCGUCCUGGAAUCUCGGCUACAUGGCAGCAGCAGCACCAAUUCGUAUCUGAACUCCUCAUCGCAGCAUGACUACGAGACGAAUCGCUCGUCGGCUUCCACCACGCUGAUGCUCAGUCGUCGUGGCGUGCCCGACUCGGUGGAUUCGGCAUCAACAUCGGUAUCGGCGGCCUUGCCACGUUCCGAUCAAAUAAGCACGCCCAGCAUGAAGGCCAUGGUGCCGCUGGCCAUGGAAGAGCUGCAGCAGCACAGCAGCAGCACCGAGUCCGCGCACGAGCACGAACCGGAACGCACGCCCAAUGAUUCCACGCAGAGCAAGACGAUGGUCAACAUCAGUCCCAGUCCGCUGGGCAGCAGCACGCCCACAGCGGCCGCCGGCAGCAGCAGCAUUGCGGCACGCGUCAUGAGCUCCAGUGUGGGCGGCGUCAGUCCCUUUGAGCAGACGCCGUUGCGCAGUCACGCUUUUCGCAAGUUCAACAGCGCCAGUAAGCCGAGCAAGAUACCGCUGCCGGGCAGCAAAGCGGCCGCCUACUUUGCGGGCAAGCCGCCAACGGGCCGACCCUCGACGGCGGGUCGUUCGCCGCCAUCGGUGCAUAACUCCAGUAGCGUCUCCUAUGGCAGCAGCAGCAAAUCCUCGUUAAGCCGCAGCACCGGCAAUCUCAGCCAGAGCUUAAAGCGCGGCGAUUCAGCAUCCAAUCAUUCGCUGAGCACGAACACCAGUCGCAGCUCGACAUCCUCGUCCAUACCGCUGGCCACCACACCAUACUCAUCCAGCUCGGCUGGUGGCAAUCGUAGCAGCCACACGGCCACAACGACUCCGUCCCCGCGCGUGCUCCAAAACUCGCCAUUGCCCAAGCUGAAGCGCGAGACGCUCAGCUCACGUGUGCGGCACCUCGACUCACUUUCGCGCGCCCAACAGUCGCCCGAGCAGCAGCAGCAGCACCAGCAGCAGCUCAACAACAGCAACAACAACAGCAGCGGCAGCGCCUCGCACAAAAGUGCCCAUCUGAGCACCAGCGGCAGCUCCAGCUCCAUUGCGGCACAGUUGAGCACAACGCUGCGCAAGGAUCUGCAGUUGAAUGCCACAACGGGGCCAUCCUAUCAGCGACGCGCUGCUGCCGUUGGCAGCGGUGGUCCAACGGUGGUACGUCGCUUUAGCAGCGCCUCGGCGGGCAGUGCGAGGCUGGCGCGUGAGCGUGAGCGUGAGCAGAGCAAUGAUCCAAUGGCCACGCCCACGUCCAGUUAUGGCGACAGUGAUAGUGGCAAGCCUAUUGAAAACUGUAACUAAAACCAAUUGUGAAACAAACAAAAAACUCUUCCUAACUGCAACAUGCUUAACCGGAUACGUUGGAUAAUCAUGUAAAUUUAUGAGAUAUAUAUACAUAUGGACUAUGGUGGUGUAUUGAUUGAUUGAUUGAUUGACGUUGGUGGUGAAAAUUUAAGCUGCAUGCUGCAAAUGAAAAUGCUAACAUAAAAGCAACAUUCCAAACGCGUGCGUCACUCGGGAGAUUAUUUUGGUAACGGACAGCGAACAGACGAUGCCAGUGUCAGGAUUCACGUGCUCAGCUCUAAGCCUCAAGCUCAGCUCGGCUCAGCUACAGCCUCAAACACAAGCGUGGAGAGCUAACUGAGCUAGUUCUGUUGUAAAUCGUUUGUCUGUUUUUCUUAUAGACAAAGAACUAAGACACUUUGCCGCAAAUUUGUUAUACGCAAUUUGGCAAAUUUCAUUCGUAAGCCAAAUUUCCGUUUCAAUAACAACAAUUGGCAAUUAUGGCAAACGAGCAACAACAACAACAAUA
rnacentral:misc_RNA from 1 species